UACGAAGGGGGCUAGCGUUGCUCGGAAUCACUGGGCGUAAAGCGCACGUAGGCGGCUUCUUAAGUCAGGGGUGAAAUCCUGGAGCUCAACUCCAGAACUGCCUUUGAUACUGAGGAGCUUGAGUCCGGGAGAGGUGAGUGGAACUGCGAGUGUAGAGGUAAAAUUCGUAGAUAUUCGCAAGAACACCAGUGGCGAAGGCGGCUCACUGGCCCGGUACUGACGCUGAGGUGCGAAAGCGUGGGGAGCAAACAGG
rnacentral:rRNA from 1 species